rnacentral:snRNA from 1 species
CUUGCUUCUUGGUCUUUUGGCUAAGAUCAAGUGUAGAGUCUGUCCUUAAAAGUUUAAGAUCUGAUAUGUCCUGUAUCCAAGGACCAUAUAUUAAAUAGAUUUUUGGAGCAGGGAGAUGGAAUAGGAGCUUGCUCCAUCCACUCUGCAGUGACCUGGUAUCAAAGAACCUCCAAGAACAGUGCACCUCUC